UACGUAGGGGGCAAGCGUUGUCCGGAAUUAUUGGGCGUAAAGGGCUCGUAGGCGGUCUGUCACGUCGGGAGUGAAAACUCGGGGCUCAACCCCGAGCCUGCUUCCGAUACGGGCAGACUAGAGGUAUGCAGGGGAGAAUGGAAUUCCUGGUGUAGCGGUGAAAUGCGCAGAUAUCAGGAGGAACACCAGUGGCGAAGGCGGUUCUCUGGGCAUUACCUGACGCUGAGGAGCGAAAGCGUGGGGAGCAAACAGG
rnacentral:rRNA from 1 species